UACGUAGGGUGCAAGCGUUGUCCGGAAUUAUUGGGCGCAAAGAGCUCGUAGGCGGUCUGUCACGUCGGCUGUGAAAACCCGAGGCUCAACCUCGGGCCUGCAGUCGAUACGGGCAAACUAGAGUGUUGCAGGGGAGACUGGAAUUCCUGGUGUAGCGGUGAAAUGCGCAGAUAUCAGGAGGAACACCGGUGGCGAAGGCGGGUCUCUGGGCAACAACUGACGCUGAGGAGCGAAAGCGUGGGGAGCGAACAGG
rnacentral:rRNA from 1 species